UGCUGCACGACUUGAAACACCUCUUGCUCGCCUUCUCCUAAGUCUUCCUGUUUUUCUGAUUUUCACCAUUUUUCCUAUAGCCUAAAAUCUGUCUUUUCUUCCUGUAGGUAGCUACAGGUCUUCUGCAAUAACAGAGUGAUAACAUGACACAUGGAAAGAUUCAUGAGAACCUAUGGAGUGUGACCCUCUGACAUACAACUCUGUCCCAGUCCAAGAUCACCUAUGUCUUUGUCAUUCCUUGACAGAAAACUGUUGAGACUGUUUCUGGAUACUGAAUAACACCUGUGGAUGUCUGACUAAGCACGGUGAUUAAAAAGAGACAAAAGUUCAUGAUCUGGACAUCACAAAGCCAGGAAAGAAUUUCCUAGUUCUUACCAAGAGGAGUCUGGAUGAAAUCUUCACUUUAAAGAUAUAUCAGCCCUGUCCCUUUCUCUGGAGCUGGUGAACCACCAGUUCCACAUUGCCGUAACACCACUGCCACUUGCAUUAGUCACCACCGUAGGAUGCACUUCCCCAGAGAUGGAUCCUGAUCCCUGUGCCUAAACAGAUCAGCGAGGUAAGGAGAAGGCAAGGCCCCUGCCAUCACCAAAGACAACUUGAAACUCUUCCAAGCUUUGUCCAAAAGGUUCAAUAAUAAUCCUACAGUUCCUUGUGGUAAGACACUUUUUCUGGUAUUAAUGUCAUGAACAUUUUUAAAUGGCAUCAGCCAUUAAUUACUAUCACAACUUUUAAUUCUGUGUUUCUUUUUCAAAUUUUCCCCAGUUCAGUCAGAACCAAAAGUUAAUGCCCAUUGGCUGAUUUCCAGUGCAUGCCUCCACGGAAACUGUUGCCUUUAACUGGUGGAGAGAUCAAGGCUUGAACUGAGAAAAGACAUCUGUAUCUUAGAAAACAAAUUAGUGUUUAUGUUUUAAUUUAUAAGUUCCUGGCUCUUUUAUGGUUCCUGUUUUUCAAGUAAUGUCUCUUUGGAUCCCUAGCUGAUGGAGAGUCAAAAUGGAAAAGGUCCAUGAGAGAAUGAUCACAAUACAACAUCUGGUCUGCGUUGGAAAAAGCUGAGAAUGAUAUUCAACAUCUCUGAGACCAAGAGGCAGCUAUGAGGCACUUUGAAAGUCAGUCUAUAAAAAAUCGUGCAGGUUGUGGCCUCCUGGGCCAAUCUAGCAUUGUUUUGGGAAGAGCUACUCUGCUUCCUAGCAUCUGAAUUUUAAUCUCAAUUCAGCACGGAUAUGUGAGAGGUGGGAGUGGUAUGAAAGGUGUUUGCUUUUCCUAAUGUUAAUCUGAAUCCCAGCAUUGUCCAUAUUGUGUUUUUUUUGCCAGUCUCCCAAUUUUCUUUUGAGCAUGUUAGCUGAAGAGUCAAAAGGCUUUCCCAGGGCUUUUGGCAUAGCUUUAUAGGAAAAAAAAGAUGGAAAGGACUUUGUGUCUUUUUGGAAGAAUAUUUUGCAUCCUGCUUUAAACUGUUCCAGAAGGUAAAUGGGUAUUAGCUAGACUGUGUAUUGGCUCAUGUACUGCUAUGUCACUAAUGGCAAGGAGUUUUGCUUUGCCUAAUUGUUCCUGUUUUCUGCAGUCACAGACUAUCGGAAAUGCAAAAAAAUCAUGGACCAACCCAGGCAGUAACGGUACCACUGGAUUCAGAGGGAAUAAACUCCUUCCACUACAUGACACUUUGAUCCUUUAAGUCAUCGUAGCUUGUGCAGAACAGAAACAAUUUGACAUGUAUAACAAGAAACGCUACAAAUUGUUUGCCAAAAACAUAUACUGCAGAUGGAAGAACUGAUGAAAAUUGUUUAUAGAUGAGGAACUAAAUGUAGAUUUUUCAAGAACAAAGUUGCUGUCUUCCUUGCCAAGACAAACAAAUUUGAUAGAACAUCUCAUUGCUUUAGGCUGCCUGCGGACCCACUGGAAAGUCUAUGGACCUUUCUACACAAAAAAUUUGUGUGUUGUCAAUACAUAAUAUUGUCCACAGUUGCACUGUGGCAGCUGCAGAGGAAGUGGAAGGUUCUCAGGAAUACAUGAGGGAAAACUGGAUUUUUGGCUCCUGAAACAAUAUGGAGUGCUUUUGGAAACUGUGGAAGUUUAUGAGCUGGAUGUUACUGCUACAAAAGGUUAUCUGUGAGUUAAACGUAAUGGUGAUUAAUCUGUUAUCUUUAGAUCUCAACAGUAACAAAAUUAUGAAAUUGAGAAUUCCUGUUCUUUAGAAUUGCAGUUUUCCAAGAUGCCUUCAUUCCUAUGAAGAUACCUGGUUUUGCACUGUUAGAGUUUUUCAGGGUUACCUUUAGAAAUGUGUGCACAGAUGUUUUUACAAGGCAGUAUGUAGUCAUCCCAAAGAACUGUUUUUAAUGGGCCAGUUCUUUAGGAAAAGCAUGUAACGAGCAUAAAUACAAUCCCUGAUACUGACAUAAAACAUGUAUUAGCAGAAUAAUAUAGUUUCUAUUUCCCUGAUGAAUAGCAGGCCCUGGAAAUAUAAAACUAAUAAUGUCCUUAAAAUUCUGUUGUAUCUGUAAACAUACAGAUUGGAAAAGAGGGCCAGCAGCAUCUUGGGCUGCAUUAGGAAAAGCAUUGCCAGGAGGUCAAAGGUGAUUAUUCGCCUUUACUCAGCACUGGUGAGACUUCAGUGCGAGUACUGUGGCCAGUUCUGGGCUCCCCACAAGAAGAAGGACAUGGACAUACCGGAGCGAGUGCAGGAAAUGGCCAUGAAGAUGAUUAAGAGAAUGGAGCAUCUGCCACAUGGUUGCCCAAAGAGGUUGUGAAGUUGGCAUCCUUGAAGAUACUUAAAGCCCAACUGGGCAAGCUCCUGAGCAGCCUGUUCUGGGUGAUUCUGCUUUGAGCUGGGGGUUGGACUGGAUGAUCUCCAGAGGUGCUUCCAACCUCAGUGAUGCUGUGAAUAUUUGAAGCAGUUUGCUUAUGUCUUGUCAGCAUUUUAGCUGGAACUUGGCUGUGUAGGAAUCCUAAAGAAAGCAAAGGCUGUGACCCUAAAAAUACAUCCAGAUGGCUGAGGCCCAGAAAAGGCAUAAUGAGAGCUGCUAAGUGUUUUGAAUGUCUCCUCAGAGUGAUAUUUGACUUAAAAAUACAGAUAUGGAAGUGACUUGGGUCUUACUAUCAAUGACACUGAAUACCUAUAAUGAUCUCUCACUUCAGCUGGACCACAGAUGGUAACAACCUUUGUCUUUCUGAACACCUAUUUUAGUUUAAUCUUGCUCUGGAAAAUCUUAGCAUAUACUUUACUCUAGAAAUGAAUAUUUGGUGUUUUAUGGUGCAGAAUUUGUUCAUUUGUUACUCGCUUUCUUUCCUUACUAGUAUGGAUAUUAACAAAUUGCAAUGUAUUUUGACGUAUUACUUCAGUAAUAGGCACAUACUAUGUCUCAAGGAGUUGAGAAUAUCGUAAUUUGAACAAGGAAAAAUCAAAAUAUGUAAUUACAUUGCACAAGUCUUAUGAGGAGCAGCUGAGGGAACUGGGGUUGUUUAGUCUGGAGAAAAGGAGGCU